AUGGUUCCUCAAUUGUUUAAAUCUAUCCUCUGCCAGGUGCCUGCUGAUAAAAAACUUCCUUCUCUCUAUCUUCUGGACAGUAUUGUGAAGAAUUUUGGCCAGGAAUAUGUUAAACACUUCUCUUUACGUCUACCUCAAGUUUACUGUGAGGCAUACAGGCAGGUCCAGCCCAAUCUGCAUUCUGUUCUGCAACGUCUCUUUGGUACCUGGUCAAAGAUCUUUCCUCCCUCUGUCCUAAGUAAUAUUGAAGCUCAAUUGUAAUCUUCACCAGCAGUUAAUAAUCAACAAUCCUUUGCUAAUCACCUUGGGGCAUAUGAUUUUCGUGGACCGAUUCUUGGGGAACAUGUUAUUAAACCACAAUCCUUGCAACAGAUGGAACACUCUAGUUCAAUUAUGGAUAAUGUUGGUGGUGAUAGGUUGGACUCAACAGAAACUGUAGGUAAUACAAGAGAAAGAGGGUUGAAUGAAUGACAGCAAAAUAGAUUUUCUAGUGAUGGUUGGAACAUAUUUCAAACUUCCAAGACUUAUAAUCUCAAUGAUGAACAACAACGUCAAAGUCCAAGAGCUCUUAUUGAGGCAUAUAGUUGUGACAAAUUAAGGCUGUGAAAUUCCUAGUACUAAGCUUUUGUUGGUGGAGCAGCCUGGCAAAAAUGGUUUAGGGAGCAAGUUUUCAUUGGCAUCAUGGCAGGACACUGAAGAAGAGGAGUUUGAUUGGAAAGAUAUGAAUCCAGGAUUAGUAGACUGUAGUAGAAACAGCAGUUCUAUGCAAUCAAGUGUUAGAUUCUCCAGGAAAAGGAAGUUAUCUAAUGAUCUAUCUAAUUCUUCACAGUACCCCUUUAAUAUUGGGGCUGCUCCCCCUGCUGUCAAUGCUCAUGCUACCCGUCCUUUCGGCUUGAAUCCAGCAUUUUCAUUGCAAAAACGUCCUAGGAGUCUGUUUGAACCAAUAAACGUUAAUAAUAACACCAAUGUGGGUCAUGGUCCAAAUAGAACUCUGUUUAUACAUGACCAGUUGCCUAAUCAACCUGGACCAAUUUCCUCUAACCUGCAAAAUCAUGGACAACCUCCUCAACUACAAUUUCUUCCACCUCAAGUUCCAUCUUCAACACAAAUUAGUCAUGGUGCCCAAUAAGUACGCCCAUCUCAAAUCCAUUACCUGAUAUGCAGGGCCAAAGUUUACAUUUACAUGGGGGAACCUUGCCACCUUUACAUCCAAGCCUUCCAACUGCUCCAUCACAAAUGAUGUCUCAUCCCCAUGCCGAUGCUUCGGUGACAAGUCAACCACCACCUGCAUAUCUUAAUUUGAUUAGUUCACUAGUGAACCACGGUGUGAUCUCAGUAACUAAUCCACCCACCAAUCCACCCACCGUACUGGAUUUUAUUGGGAUGGAGUUCGAUCCAGAUAUCUUGAAGGUGUAAUCAGUGCCUUAUACGGUGAUCUUCCUAAACAAUGCACGAGCUGCGGUCUCCGAUUCAAAAGGCAAGAUGAGCACAGUAGACAUAUGGAUUGGCAUGUGACUAGGAACCGAAUGUCGAAAAGCCGGAAGCAGAAGGGAUCUCAAAAAUGGUUUGCAAGUGGGAGCAUGUGGCUAAGUGGUGUAGAGGCUUCGGGAAAGGAAUCGAUUCCAGGGUUCGUUGGCUCCCGAGGAUACAGAGGAAAUGAAAGAUGAG